GACGAACGCUGGUGGCGUGCUUAACACAUGCAAGUCGAACGGAAAGGCCCUGCUUUUGUGGGGUGCUCGAGUGGCGAACGGGUGAGUAACACGUGAGUAACCUGCCCUUGACUUUGGGAUAACUUCAGGAAACUGGGGCUAAUACCGGAUAGGAGCUCCUGCUGCAUGGUGGGGGUUGGAAAGUUUCGGCGGUUGGGGAUGGACUCGCGGCUUAUCAGCUUGUUGGUGGGGUAGUGGCUUACCAAGGCUUUGACGGGUAGCCGGCCUGAGAGGGUGACCGGCCACAUUGGGACUGAGAUACGGCCCAGACUCCUACGGGAGGCAGCAGUGGAGAAUAUUGCACAGUGGGCGGAAGCCUGAUGCAGCAACGCCGCGUGCGGGAUGACGGCCUUCGGGUUGUAAACCGCUUUCGCCUGUGACGAAGCGUGAGUGACGGUAAUGGGUAAAGAAGCACCGGCUAACUACGUG
rnacentral:rRNA from 1 species